UACGUAGGGGGCGAGCGUUGUCCGGAAUCAUUGGGCGUAAAGCGCGUGUAGGCGGCUCGGUAAGUCUGCUGUGAAAGUCCAGGGCUCAACCCUGGAAUGCCGGUGGAUACUGUCGAGCUUGAGUCCGGAAGAGGCGAGUGGAAUUCCUGGUAUAGCGGUGGAAUGCGCAGAUAUCAGGAGGAACACCAACGGCGAAGGCAGCUCGCUGGGACGGUACUGACGCUGAGGCGCGAAAGCGUGGGGAGCGAACAGG
rnacentral:rRNA from 1 species